CUAACACAUGCAAGUCGAACGAGCGAGAAGAGAGCUUGCUUUCUCAAGCGAGUGGCGAACGGGUGAGUAACGCGUGAGGAACCUGCCUCAAAGAGGGGGACAACAGUUGGAAACGACUGCUAAUACCGCAUAAGCCCACGGCUCGGCAUCGAGCAGAGGGAAAAGGAGCAAUCCGCUUUGAGAUGGCCUCGCGUCCGAUUAGCUAGUUGGUGAGGUAACGGCCCACCAAGGCGACGAUCGGUAGCCGGACUGAGAGGUUGAACGGCCACAUUGGGACUGAGACACGGCCCAGACUCCCACGGGAGGCAGCAGUGGGGAAUAUUGCACAAUGGGGGAAACCCUGAUGCAGCGACGCCGCGUGGAGGAAGAAGGUCUUCGGAUUGUAAACUCCUGUUGUUGAGGAAGAUAAUGACGGUACUCAACAAGGAAGUGACGGCUAACUACGUGCCAGCAGCCGCGGUAAAACGUAGGUCACAAGCGUUGUCCGGAAUUACUGGGUGUAAAGGGAGCGCAGGCGAGAAGACAAGUUGGAAGUGAAAUCCAUGGGCUCAACCCAUGAACUGCUUUCAAAACUGUUUUUCUUGAGUAGUGCAGAGGUAGGCGGAAUUCCCGGUGUAGCGGUGGAAUGCGUAGAUAUCGGGAGGAACACCAGUGGCGAAGGCGGC
rnacentral:rRNA from 1 species